CGUAGGGUGCAAGCGUUAAUCGGAAUUACUGGGCGUAAAGCGUGCGCAGCGGUGAUGUAAGACAGGUGUGAAAUCCCCGGGCUUAACCUGGGAACUGCAUUUGUGACUGCAUCGCUGGAGUGCGGCAGAGGGGGAUGGAAUUCCGCGUGUAGCAGUGAAAUGCGUAGAUAUGCGGAGGAACACCGAUGGCGAAGGCAAUCCCCUGGGCCUGCACUGACGCUCAUGCACGAAAGCGUGGGGAGCAAACAGGAUUAGAUACCCUGGUAGUCCACGCCCUAAACGAUGUCAACUGGUUGUUGGUCCUUCACUGGAUCAGUAACGAAGCUAACGCGUGAAGUUGACCGCCUGGGGAGUACGGCCGCAAGGUUG
rnacentral:rRNA from 1 species